rnacentral:rRNA from 1 species
GACGAACGCUGGCGGCGUGCUUAAUACAUGCAAGUCGAACGGAAAGGCCCUGCUUUUGUGGGGUGCUCGAGUGGCGAACGGGUGAGUAACACGUGAGUAACCUGCCCUUGACUUUGGGAUAACUUCAGGAAACUGGGGCUAAUACCGGAUAGGAGCUCCUGCUGCAUGGUGGGGGUUGGAAAGUUUCGGCGGUUGGGGAUGGACUCGCGGCUUAUCAGCUUGUUGGUGGGGUAGUGGCUUACCAAGGCUUUGACGGGUAGCCGGCCUGAGAGGGUGACCGGCCACAUUGGGACUGAGAUACGGCCCAGACUCCUACGGGAAGCAGCAGUGGGGAAUAUUGCACAAUGGGCGGAAGCCUGAUGCAGCAACGCCGCGUGCGGGAUGACGGCCUUCGGGUUGUAAACCGCUUUCGCCUGUGACGAAGCGUGAGUGACGGUAAUGGGUAAAGAAGCACCGGCUAACUACGUG